AUUGAACGCUGGCGGCAGGCCUAACACAUGCAAGUCGAACGCGUGGCGGACGGGUGAGUAAUGUCUGUGAAACUGUCCGAUGGAGGGGGAUAACUACUGGAAACGGUAGCUCAUACCGCAUACCCUCGGAUGUGCCCAGAUGGGAUUAGCUAGUAGGGGGGGUAACGGCUCACCUAGGCGACGAUCCCUAGCUGGUCUGAGAGGAUGACCCGCCACACUGGAACUGAGACACUGUCCAGACUCCUACGGGAGGCAGCAGUGGGGAAUAUUGCACAAUGGGCGCAAGCCUGAUGCAGCCAUGCCGCGUGUAUGAAGAAGGCCUUCGGGUUGUAAAGUACUUUAAGCGAGGAGGCGUUACUCGCAGAAGAAGCACCGGCUAACUCCGUGCCAGCAGCCGCGGUAAUUC
rnacentral:rRNA from 1 species